rnacentral:lncRNA from 1 species
UCCCAUAUAGAGUUUGGAUAAUCUGGUUCAGCUUCAAACUACCUUUGAUCUUAUCAUGAAUUCAAAUCAAAUUUGAAUUCUAUUUUAAAUCAAAUUUAAUCUACACAUAAGAGACUUAGAAAAGAGAGUGAAAUAACUUAGAUUGGUACAAAAAAAUAUCAUACCAAAAUUUUUUUGCAUGUGAGAAAGAAGGCUGGUCGGC